CAAUACAGGAGUGGCAGACGGGUGAGUAACGCGUGGGAACGUGCCCUUCGGUUCGGAAUAACCCAGGGAAACUUGGGCUAAUACCGGAUACGUCCUUAACGGGAGAAAGAUUUAUUGCCGAAGGAUCGGCCCGCGUCCGAUUAGCUUGUUGGUGAGGUAAUGGCUCACCAAGGUGACGAUCGGUAGCUGGUCUGAGAGGAUGAUCAGCCACACUGGGACUGAGACACAGCCCAG
rnacentral:rRNA from 1 species